rnacentral:rRNA from 1 species
UACGUAGGGGGCAAGCGUUGUCCGGAAUCAUUGGGCGUAAAGAGCGUGUAGGCGGCCAGAUAAGUCCGCUGUGAAAUCUCGAGGCUCAACUUCGAGCUGUCGGUGGAAACUGUCUGGCUAGAGUCCGGAAGAGGAGAAUGGAAUUCCAGGUGUAGCGGUGAAAUGCGUAGAUAUCUGGAGGAACACCGGUGGCGAAGGCGGCAUCCUGGACCGGCAUUGACGCUGAGGAGCGAAAGCCAGGGGAGCAAACGGG